rnacentral:misc_RNA from 1 species
UCUCUACUGUAGUAUUUUGUAAAAACUUACACCUUGCAGGCAAAAGAUGAAGCUUGAAAAAUCUAUAGCGCCCGCAGUUUCACCUUCGAAAUGAUGACCAGAAAAUUCUCAGCAGGUUCGAGAAACAAUGCGGAAUUGAGAAAUGGGUUGAUGAUGUUCAGAUUUGCAAUGCCUGGAUUAAACGCUUUCAUUCAUAUCAAGCACCCCAAAAUGAAGCAACAAUCCCAGUUUCCUCAGCAAAAGAAUCACCUAUUGCAUGCGUUCACCUGCCUUGAACCACUCUGUAAUUGAGAACCAAAUCCUCUGGCUUCUUCCAGAUGUAAUUCCUAACUGUAGCUAAACAUGACUGGAUUAAACGCUUUCAUUCAUAUCAAGCACCCCAAAAUGAAGCAACAAUCCCAGUUUCCUCAGCAAAAGAAUCACCUAUUGCAUGCGUUCACCUGCCUUGAACCACUCUGUAAUUGAGAACCAAAUCCUCUGGCUUCUUCCAGAUGUAAUUCCUAACUGUAGCUAAACAUGA